AGUUCACGACAUGUUAAUAAGAUAGUAAGAAAUUUAUUUAAUAAUAGUUCGAUAUUAAUAAAGUUAGUAUUAAAUAUAAAUUUAUUUCAUUUAUCUGGUGAAUUGUGAAUGUAGCUACAUUUCAAUGAUCGAUGUUUUAGUCUGAUGUUGAAACUCAAGCCUUUGAAAGAAUAAAGUCGUUUUCAUCUUUGAAUAAAGAUACAAAGGCAGUGUCCUGUAAACUGGAAAAACUGGUCACUUCUGGUGGUGGCAAUUUAAUGAUGGAGGACGUUAUCUUUGAUAUUGGUCCUGGCUGUUUAGAAGACAGUACAAUGAUAAAGUUAGUCAAGGUUAACAAUCCAAGCUACAUCAAAAGUUUGCUGUACUUGGAACUUCUUAAAAGUAGCAUAUGUCAUCUGCAAUGUCUUCCUAACGGCCUACAUUUCUCGAAGCCUGCUCCAUUGCAAAUUAACA